rnacentral:rRNA from 1 species
CCAACAGGGAUUGCCCCAGUAACGGCGAGUGAAGCGGCAACAGCUCAAAUUUGAAAUCUGGCCCCCUCGGGGCCCGAGUUGUAAUUUGUAGAGGGUGCUUCGGCGAUGGCGUUGGCCUAAGUUCCUUGGAACAGGACGUCGCAGAGGGUGAGAAUCCCGUACGUGGCCGGCCGCCUCCGCCGUGUGAAGCCCCUUCGACGAGUCGAGUUGUUUGGGAAUGCAGCUCUAAAUGGGAGGUAAAUUUCUUCUAAAGCUAAAUAUUGGCCAGAGACCGAUAGCGCACAAGUAGAGUGAUCGAAAGAUGAAAAGCACUUUGGAAAGAGAGUCAAAAAGCACGUGAAAUUGUUGAAAGGGAAGCGCUUGCAGCCAGACUUGCCCGCAGUUGCUCAUCCGCGCUCCAGCGCGGUGCACUCUUCUGCGGGCAGGCCAGCAUCAGUUUGGGCGGUCGGAUAAAGGCCUCGGGAACGUGGCUCCCUCCGGGGAGUGUUAUAGCCCGUGGCGCCAUGCGGCCAGCCCGGACUGAGGUCCGCGCUUCUGCUAGGAUGCUGGCGUAAUGGCUGUAAGCGGCCCGUCUUGAAACACGGACCAAGGAGUCUAACAUCUAUGCGAGUGUUUGGGUGUCAAGCCCGGGCGCGUAAUGAAAGUGAACGGAGGUGGGAACCCCCCCGGGGUGCACCAUCGACCGAUCCUGAUGUCUUCGGAUGGAUUUGAGUAAGAGCAUAGCUGUUGGGACCCGAAAGAUGGUGAACUAUGCCUGAAUAGGGUGAAGCCAGAGGAAACUCUGGUGGAGGCUCGCAGCGGUUCUGACGUGCAAAUCGAUCGUCAAAUUUGGGCAUA